UACGGAGGGUGCAAGCGUUAAUCGGAAUUACUGGGCGUAAAGCGCACGUAGGUGGUUUGUUAAGCCAGCUGUGAAAUCCCCGGGCUCAACCUGGGCACUGCAGUUGGAACUGGCAAGCUAGAGUAGGGUAGAGGGGUGUGGAAUUCCAGGUGUAGCGGUGAAAUGCGUAGAUAUCUGGAGGAACAUCAGUGGCGAAGGCGACACCCUGGACUCAUACUGACACUGAGGUGCGAAAGCCAGGGGAGCGAACGGG
rnacentral:rRNA from 1 species